CAUGUUGGACUGUUUUGAGCACUGAUGGAGUCCACUGUGACCCAGACUGCAGAGGCUUACUUUGGUGGAGGAACAAAGUUAACUGUUCUAGAACCAGGCCGUAAUAUCACCAAACCAAGAGUGAAAGUGCUUCCACCUUCAGAAAGGGAGUGUCGAAGCCAGAAAGACGGACCAAGGAAGAAGACCAUUGUUUGUGUGGCCAGUGGAUUCUACCCAGACCAUGUCAGUGUUUACUGGCAGGUCGACGGGGAUAAUGUCACCAACGGUGUGGCGACUGAUAACGAUGCCCUGCGGGAAGGCGACUUUUACAGAAUCACCAGCAGGCUGAAGGUCUCUGGAGACGACUGGUUCACACUCGACAAAAACUUCACCUGCAUCGUCAAGUUCUUCAAUGGAAUCGAAACAAGCAGUCAUAAAGAUACAGUUCUGGGUGAUGAAGCUGAAGAAAGAGCGUAUUAUCUGAAGAUCUCAAAGACGGCCAAAGUCUCCUACGCUCUUCUAAUCAUCAAGAGCAGCCUCUAUGGAGCCUUUGUGGCCUUUCUGGUGUGGAAGCUUCAGUGUUCAACUGGAAAACGGAACAACUGAGAGCUGAGGCCUGAACAAAUUAAAUCUAUGGGGAACAACAGUGUUGAAUGCUGUAAAUAAAACGUUUAAAAAAUAAAAAUAAAAGUAUGUGGAUGUGCAUUUGCAUUGUGCUAAACUAGAUUGAGAGCUCUAUGCAUAUUCUUCUUGUAAUCUCAAAGCUACUGUAUAUCUGGCAUGCAAAUACUUUGGCAUCACAUUUUUAGACAUGCUUAAUUCUGUGUGCUUGGGAAUAAUUUGAUUCAUUUUUUUACUCUUAAUAAAAGCAUUUCAGAGAAUCUCA